CAAGUACUCCCUCCGUCCGGAAUUACUUGUCAUCAAAAUGGAUGUGUCUAGAACUAAAAUACAUCUAGAUACAUCCAUUUCAGUGACAAGUAUUUUCGGACGAAGGGAGUACAAG
rnacentral:pre_miRNA from 1 species